rnacentral:rRNA from 1 species
CUACGGGGUGCUGCAGUGGGGAAUAUUGGACAAUGGGGGAAACCCUGAUCCAGCAAUGCCGCGUGUGUGAAGAAGGCCUGCGGGUUGUAAAGCACUUUCGGUUGGGAGGACUGCUUCUAGCACUAAUAUUGUUGGAAGUUGACGUUACCUUCAGAAGAGGCACCGGCUAACUCCGUGCCAGCAGCCGCGGUAAUACGGAGGGUGCACGCGUUAAUCGGAAUUACUGGGCGUAAAGCGCGCGUAGGCGGCUAGAUCAGUCGGGUGUGAAAGCCCCGGGCUUAACCUGGGAACUGCAUCCGAUACUGUCUAGCUUGAGUACAGGAGAGGAGAGUGGAAUUCCACAUGUAGCGGUGAAAUGCGUAGAUAUGUGGAGGAACACCAAUGGCGAAGGCAGCUCUCUGGCCUGAUACUGACGCUGAGGUGCGAAAGCGUGGGGAGCAAACAGGAUUAGAUACCCUUGUAGUC